rnacentral:rRNA from 1 species
UUGGAGGGCAAGUCUGGUGCCAGCAGCCGCGGUAAUUCCAGCUCCAAUAGCGUAUAUUAAAGUUGUUGCAGUUAAAAAGCUCGUAGUUGAAUUUCGGGAUUGACGUGAUGGUCAUGCCUUAAGGGGUAUGAACUGUUGCAAUUGAUUUCUCACCUUCUGGAGAAACUUGAUGUCCUUUAUUGGGUGUCUUGCGGAUCCAGGACCUUUACCUUGAAAAAAUUAGAGUGUUUAAAGCAGGCAUUUUUGCUCGAAUACAUUAGCAUGGAAUAAUAGAAUAGGACGGCAUGGUUCUAUUUUGUUGGUUUCUAGGAUCACCGUAAUGAUUAAUAGGGAUAGUUGGGGGCAUUAGUAUUCAAUUGUCAGAGGUGAAAUUCUUGGAUUUAUUGAAGACUAACUACUGCGAAAGCAUUUGCCAAGGAUGUUUUCAUUAAUCAAGAACGAAAGUUAGGGGAUCGAAGACGAUCAGAUACCGUCGUAGUCUUAACCAUAAACUAUGCCGACUAGGAAUCAGACGAUGUUAAUUUUUUAAUGACUCGUUUGGCACCUUACGGGAAACCAAAGUGUUUGGGUUC